AUCGAUCUACGGGACGCAGCAGUGAGGAAUAUUGGUCAAUGGGCGGGAGCCUGAACCAGCCACGUCGCGUGAGGGAAGACGGUCCUACAGAUUGUAAACCUCUUUUGCCGGGGAGCAACGGGGUCCUUGCGAGGGCCCGAUGAGAGUACCCGGAGAAAAAGCAUCGGCUAACUCCGUGCCAGCAGCCGCGGUAAUACGGAGGAUGCGAGCGUUAUCCGGAUUUAUUGGGUUUAAAGGGUGCGUAGGCGGGCUGUUAAGUCAGCGGUCAAAUGUCGGGGCUCAACCCCGGCC
rnacentral:rRNA from 1 species